AAUUUACAUGUAUGCACAGUUCAUUGUUUCUAAGAACGUUUAGAGCUUUAGCUUUUUAAACUUACAGAGUUAUCAAAGGAAUAAAGCCAACCACAAAAUAAAAAUUAAUUCAAAAAGAUACAUACACCCUCCUAUUAACAGCAACAUUAUUUAUAAUUGCCAAGAUAUGGAAGCAUCCUAAGGGCACAUCAACAGAAGAACGGAUAAAGAAGAUGCAGCGUGUAUAUGUAAUGGAAAACAACUCUCCCAUAAGAAAGAAGAAUAUUUUGCUGAGCUCACAAUGACUCUUGAGUGAGAUGAAGUCUCUGAGAACCAGCCCAUCCCAGGUUCACCCUCGGCACUGACAGCCCCAGGAGGGUGGGCAUCAGUGGUGAGAUCUCAGCAGGGACAGGACGGGGCCCAGGCGUGGCAGGCAUCUGCAGAAGGACAGGGCUGGAAGAGGGGUCCUGGCGGAUGGGGGACUCCUCUGCUUUUCAGGACCCUUGGGGAGAAAGAAUCCUUUACCUACCCUCCCUCCACUUUCUGUCAACUGACUUGGAGCCCAGCCAUAAGCAGUAGUAGUGAUUAAAACAAUGGCUCACAUUUAUUGACAGCUUGUACGUCAAUCUCUGUUCCAAGCACUUUACCCAUUUUAACUCAUUUCUGCCUCAGAACGACCCUACCUAGAGGGGAGUGUUUUUAUUGCCACCUUAUGGAUGCAGAAACCAGAGCAGUUAAGUAACCUUCCCACAGUCACAGAGCUUAUGAGCUGUGGAGUCAUGACUCAAUCUCGGAUGGACCAGGGUCUUACUGUGCUGUCCUGUCAGGACGUAAUCCUGCAUCCUUUAUGCUUCGGAGCACGACUCCUCAGCGAAAGGGACCUCACUUGCCCUGUGUUCCCACACUAGGCACUGUUCACCGGCGUGGUUGAUGCUGGAGGAAUCUGUUGCUCUUUCAGAAGCUGCUGAAAGAAAAGAAAGCAACCUACAGCUGACUCUUGAGAGUGAUCGCUGAGAUCCAAAAAAAUAACAGACCUUCUUCUCGUGACUUCAUUUUCUGAAUCCUCCUGGAAUGAUUCAUUCUCCAAUAAAGUCAUGGCUCAUCAAGAUGAAACAGCCGAUGCUGGAGAGCUUGAGCCUGGACACUGUCAUCAAGGCAUUGGAGCAGCUGAGACUCUGCUCUCUGGCAGAAUGAGAGCCUCCUGGCUCUGUAAUCUGACUCCUCUCUCUCCACCCCUGCUCCUCCAAGGAAUGUCCCAGGGGAACACCUAGCCACCCGCCCACAGGGCAGCCUCGUCCUCAGCUUGGAACCUGGACCCUGGCUCAACUUGAAUUGUCAGCCUUCACUGGUCUUUCCCUCUGGAGCUGCAUUUUCAGUCUGUUCCAGGGUCCUUUCUUGUUCCGUCUCUGCAUCUUCAGCCACUGCCAGGGCGCCUGGCACACAACAGGUACCCACGAGAGAUUUGUUGACUGCACUGAACUUGGCCUGUCACCUGGACUCCUGGAUUUAUUAAUGGGAUGAAGGGGUGAGCUGCUGUGACCCAGAGACCUCUCUAGGUCAAUGAGAAUGAGCCCCAUUUGAGCCCACCUAGAACC